rnacentral:rRNA from 1 species
UACGGAAGGCAGCAGUAGGGAAUCUUCCGCAAUGGACGAAAGUCUGACGGAGCAACGCCGCGUGAACGAUGAAGGCUUUCGGGUCGUAAAGUUCUGUUGUUAGGGAAGAACAAGUACCAGAGUAACUGCUGGUACCUUGACGGUACCUAACCAGAAAGCCACGGCUAACUACGUGCCAGCAGCCGCGGUAAUACGUAGGUGGCAAGCGUUGUCCGGAAUUAUUGGGCGUAAAGCGCGCGCAGGUGGUCCUUUUAAGUCUGAUGUGAAAGCCCACGGCUCAACCGUGAGGGUCAUUGGAAACUGGGGACUUGAGUGCAGAAGAGGAAAGUGGAAUUCCACGUGUAGCGGUGAAAUGCGUAGAGAUGUGGAGGAACACCAGUGGCGAAGGCGACUUUUCUGGUCUGUAACUGACACUGAGGCGCGAAAGCGUGGGGAGCGAACAGGGAUUAGAUACCCG